UCUAUAAUGUUGCUGAAAAAGAUAAUAUUGAACAGUUUGCUGGCAAUAUUAAUUCACUAUAUUAUAAGCAUUUCUCUUAUCAUGAUUACUAUUGUUUCCAGGCCACAAAAUAUGACUGAGUGUGUGAGCAUGCAAGUAUCUGCAGCCUGGGAAAGCACUGUGCACUGCUAGGACACAUCGGUCACGCAGGAGGAAUCUCCUACAGCUGGUGGUGGAGCUUGGGGGAACUGCUGAGGAGGUGUCUGUGUCAUCUUGGUGCAAAUGAGCCCAAGGAGCCAGGGAGGAUUUUCCUCCAGAAGAGGUUUUCGGAAAAGAAGAGGCUUGACAGCAGACACUCUGAUCAAAUUUGUCAGUGAAACAUUUCCCACAUAACCCUUAUAUGCUUUUGCGUCUGGGCACACACAAACUCUAAAACUCAGUAGAAGUGGUUGUGCCCUUGAGUGAUUAUUUAUGAAUAUCAUCAUUCCUCCCAAGGAUAUGAGGCAUACUCCGCCCAGGGCAAAUGUCUCCAUGGAGGGCUGCCUUUCAUCUGCAGAAAAUUCGCACCAUAUGUUUUCAAAAGGGAACCCCAUGUCUGCAUGGACACAAUUUUACUCUUCUCUUUGGAAGUCAGUGUUUCAGUGUGUCAUAACAAGGUCUCCAUCAUGAUGAAGGUGAUCAUAAUUAGCAUACACUAAUUUCUCUAGAGACUGAAAUCAGGAUCUAUUGACUGAG
rnacentral:lncRNA from 1 species